rnacentral:rRNA from 1 species
CCUAGGAAUCUGCCUGGUAGUGGGGGAUAACGUUCGGAAACGGACGCUAAUACCGCAUACGUCCUACGGGAGAAAGCAGGGGACCUUCGGGCCUUGCGCUAUCAGAUGAGCCUAGGUCGGAUUAGCUAGUUGGUGAGGUAAUGGCUCACCAAGGCUACGAUCCGUAACUGGUCUGAGAGGAUGAUCAGUCACACUGGAACUGAGACACGGUCCAGACUCCUACGGGAGGCAGCAGUGGGGAAUAUUGGACAAUGGGCGAAAGCCUGAUCCAGCCAUGCCGCGUGUGUGAAGAAGGUCUUCGGAUUGUAAAGCACUUUAAGUUGGGAGGAAGGGCAUUAACCUAAUACGUUAGUGUUUUGACGUUACCGACAGAAUAAGCACCGGCUAACUCUGUGCCAGCAGCCGCGGUAAUACAGAGGGUGCAAGCGUUAAUCGGAAUUACUGGGCGUAAAGCGCG